rnacentral:rRNA from 1 species
AUUGAACGCUGGCGGCGUGCUUAACACAUGCAAGUCGAUCGGUAACGCGGGGGCAACCCUGGCGACGAGAGGCGGACGGGUGAGGAACGCUUGGGAAUCUGCCUAUCAGCGGGGGACAACCCGGGGAAACUCGGGCUAAUACCGCAUACGCUCUUCGGAGGAAAGCCGGGGCCCGCAAGGCCUGGCACUGAUAGAUGGGCCCAAGCCGGAUUAGCUAGUUGGCGGGGUAACGGCCCACCAAGGCGACGAUCCGUAGCUGGUCUGAGAGGACGAUCAGCCACACCGGAACUGAGACACGGUCCGGACUCCUACGGGAGGCAGCAGUGGGGAAUAUUGGACAAUGGGGGAAACCCUGAUCCAGCGACGCCGCGUGGGUGAAGAAGGCCUGCGGGUUGUAAAGCCCUUUCGGUAGGGACGAAAACUCCUGUUCUAACAAAGCAGGAGCUUGACUUAACCUACAUAAGAAGCACCGGCUAACUCUGUGCCAGCCGCCGCGGUAAGAC